GGCCAGCGUGGCAUAGUGGUUGAGCAUUGGACUAUGACUCUGAAGAUUCAGGGUUUGAAUCUUGGCUCGGCCA
rnacentral:tRNA from 1 species